UCAUUGUUGCCUUAAAACAAAACAAAAAGAAUUAUCGUCGAUCUGCAAAUUAUUCUCGUUCCAAAUCAGUCUAUUCUUUGUAUUAUUAUUGUAAUACGGUUCAUUUAUGCAAAGUAUUUUCGUUGACAUAAACAUGUACUCCUGUUUUGUUUUGCAUUUUUAAGUUUUGGUUUACCAUUUAAUUGUUGUAAUGGAAAAAUAAAAGAGUUUCAG
rnacentral:sRNA from 1 species